rnacentral:rRNA from 1 species
AUACGGAGGGUGCAAGCGUUGUUCGGAAUUACUGGGCGUAAAGCGCGCGUAGGCGGUUUGUUAUGUCAGAUGUGAAAGUCCACGGCUCAACCGUGGAAGUGCAUUUGAAACUGGCAAACUUGAGUACUGGAGGGGGUGGUGGAAUUCCCGGUGUAGAGGUGAAAUUCGUAGAUAUCGGGAGGAAUACCGGUGGCGAAGGCGACCACCUGGCCAGAUACUGACGCUGAGGUGCGAAAGCGUGGGGAGCAAACAGGAUUAGAUACCCGGGUAGUCC